rnacentral:rRNA from 1 species
GACGAACGCUGGCGGCGUGCCUAAUACAUGCAAGUCGAGCGGACCGACGGGAGCUUGCUCCCUUAGGUCAGCGGCGGACGGGUGAGUAACACGUGGGUAACCUGCCUGUAAGACUGGGAUAACUCCGGGAAACCGGGGCUAAUACCGGAUGCUUGAUUGAACCGCAUGGUUCAAUCAUAAAAGGUGGCUUUYAGCUACCACUURCAGAUGGACCCGCGGCGCAUUAGCUAGUUGGUGAGGUAACGGCUCACCAAGGCGACGAUGCGUAGCCGACCUGAGAGGGUGAUCGGCCACACUGGGACUGAGACACGGCCCAGACUCCUACGGGAGGCAGCAGUAGGGAAUCUUCCGCAAUGGACGAAAGUCUGACGGAGCAACGCCGCGUGAGUGAUGAAGGUUUUCGGAUCGUAAAACUCUGUUGUUAGGGAAGAACAAGUACCGUUCGAAUAGGGCGGCACCU